UACGUAGGGUGCGAGCGUUAAUCGGAAUUACUGGGUGUAAAGCGUGCGCAGGCGGUUCGUUAAGUCAGAUGUGAAAGCCCCGGGCUCAACCUGGGAACUGCAUUUGAAACUGGCGGGCUUGAGUGUGGCAGAGGGGGGUGGAAUUCCGCGUGUAGCAGUGAAAUGCGUAGAGAUGCGGAGGAACACCGAUGGCGAAGGCAGCCCCCUGGGCCAACACUGACGCUCAGGCACGAAAGCGUGGGGAGCAAACAGG
rnacentral:rRNA from 1 species